AACAUAGUUUUCAAACUACCAAGGAGAGGUAACCAGGAACCAAGGUAUAAUACAAUGAUGCAAUUUUACCCAUGUUGUAGUAGUACAUGGUAGUAGUACAUGGUAGUAGUAACUAUGGAUAUCCCGCCUCUUCUUUUAUGCACAUCCUUUCCACUGCUAUCGCAAGUUUUAAAAAAAGGGCCCAAUGUCUGCAUAACUAAGCAAGGUAGGAGUUCAUUAAAAACAUGAUGUAAAACAUUAAGUAUAUCACACCAAAGCAUCUCAAUCUGACAGCACGAUGUGGAGAAAAGUUAAUGGUGUAGAUAAAUACUCAAGAAAUAAGUUCAUCGGCAGUCUAAGUCAAUCAUUUAUAAAACUGAGGCUUUGCCAAGGCAUCCAUUUUAAGUAUGUGUCUAUAGGGCAAAUAAGAUGUAGUCAAGUACUCAAGUUACCACCUGUCAGCCAAGAUCAAACUUUUGGAAUAUAAGAGUUUUGGGGAGGGGUCAUCUUUUAUCAAUUUCUGUUUAUUGAUAAUAAUUAUAACAUUUGGGAAUGGGCCUAUGAGUCUGAUAUACCUUGGUGCGUGUGUGGACCACGGAGUAACCAUCACACUUAAGGAUGUUAUAUACUAUUGUACAGUAUUAUUGUUUCUCUGGAAAAAAUUACAAUCAUUGAGUCAUAGGUAUUUUUUUUUUUUUUUAAAGAAAUCAGCAUGUUUUUAUAAUGUGUUUUAUAAUAAGGGUGCAGGUCAUGAUACAAUACAUUCCCUGGAGAAAAAAACAGUGCUCAGAUUUAGCCUAAGUAUGCUUUGUUGAAUUUUUAAAGAAAAAAGUAAUCUACAAAUGGAAGUAGCAGAUGAGGUCAUUUGUGCUUAAUAUUUGACCAUCAAUGUUAUAAUCUGUAAACAUAUUAGUUUGUUGUAAUAAAAUGAAUAAAUUAAACAUGUUUAUUAUCUUA